AGGAAAUCACCGAAGAAAGGACACCACCACCCUCGGAUUCUCAAGCAGGCAACUGCUUCUACUUUGAUAUUUGCGGAUCCGAGCCAGACUCACCUGUUAACAAAGGCAAGCCCCGGUGCAUUUGCCACCUCCUUGUGUUUUAAAAACCUUUUUCACUUGCUUGAUGCAUUAGGUGAUAGGAGUUGAUUGCUAAAACAAUUCCUGCAUUACCUUCCUUGAAUUUGAUUACCUUCCUUGAUCACCAUUUUACAAAAGAUUUUUGAUGCAUAGCCUUGCUUUAGAAAAACAAAAUGUUUUGUUUUUACAAAAGAUGAUGUGGCAAAAGUGGGUGGGAUGUUUUCGAAAAUAAAAACUUGAUGGUGAAUCCAUCACGGCCGUGAUGGAUUCAACAUCGGAAAAGAUGUACCUCUGCCAGGUACCAACCUUUGGGGUUAAAUGAUUAAGCUGAGACCGUGCGGGUGACUUGCACGAGAAAGAGAGUCUCGGUGUAGUGUCUCCGUCUGAGUUGAUUAAGGGCCGUCUCGAUGUAAGCCUGCUGACCGAGGACCCUUUAACUGGUCACAUGCCUCGUCAUGGGUAAGCCUUGCCUCGGGUGGACUAAGGCCAGAAUAAGAUAACACGAAAUGGGCGUGGAGCGGUGGCGAGAGUAGCGUGUACCCUUCGUGGCAAGAGGCUGGACGGUGAUGUAUCUGUGCUCUCGGUUUGCGUGAACCUGAUCUGGUCUUAAGAAACUCGGUGGCGGGUUGACAUAUGCAAGGGUUAAGUGCUACAUAUGUCGUGUGAUCGGAGAUCCUCAGCUGAGUAUAAUCGAUUCGGAUCGUCGUACCUCCGCGGUUAUGGAGACUUGGCCACUGACUUACACGUAGCAAUCCAGUAAAGUUGAAGGGUUGAUAAGAAAAUUGGCUAGUGCAGGCAAAGUGAUUGAUCUAGGGUAGAAAUAACUCUAGCUGCAGGUAAUUUUACUUAACCUGACAAUAAAAUUGGAUUUUAAGGAUCCACUCGUAGUAAGCUUUUCUGCAAAACAGAGUCUUUGAUUCUUGAUAAGCCACUCCUUGAGUCCCUCUAGCCAGCAUACCCUUGAGAGUCUUUUCCUUAGUCGGGUAAGACUUGCUGAGUAAUUCCAUACUCAGGGUUUAUCCCCUUGUUGUUUUUAGGUGAGGAAGCAGCAGAUUUCUGUUGCUUCUGUACCAAGGUGGUUCCUAAUGAAGAUAAGCAAGAAUGAAGUGCGGGAGGAAAGGAUCCUCCAUUAAGACUUUUUGUGUGAUAG
rnacentral:lncRNA from 1 species